GUGUCCAUGAAGAAUAAUGCAUGUAAUGCAAUGGAAAGUCCACCUUGCUUUAGUUCAGAAGACUUUUGUGCUGAUGUCAGUCUGACUGAGGAAGAAUCUCCUGGACCCAGCAGUGUUUCCAUGAAGACUGAUGCAUCAAUGGAUUGUCCAUUUAAAUUCAGUUCAGGAGACCCUUCUGCUGAUGUGAGGCUGACUGGGGGCGAUCCUCCUGAACCCAGCUGUGUGUCCAUGAAGACUGAUGCAUCAAUGGAUUGCCCAUUUAAAUUCAGUUCAGGAGACCCUUCUGCUGAUGUGAGUAACAAACAGGAUGGGUCAGUGUCUUCCAUUGGAAAGAAGCAGCUGGGCUCCAUUUUUAAGAAGCUUGAGGACACAGUCAUUUCUCUAUUGAAGAAAGAGCUGAUGAGGUUCAAGGCACUACUGAGCUCAGAUUACUCAAUGUCCUCUGAGAUAGAGGAAGAACAUCAGGUCAGAGAGGGGUUUCUGAAGAUCACACUUCACGCCCUGAGAAAGAUGAACCAGACAGACCUCGCUAAAACACUAC
rnacentral:lncRNA from 1 species